rnacentral:rRNA from 1 species
UGCGAUAAGUAAUGUGAAUUGCAGAAUUCAGUGAAUCAUCGAAUCUUUGAACGCACAUUGCGCCCCCUGGUAUUCCGGGGGGCAUGCCUGUCCGAGCGUCAUUACUGCCCCUCAAGCACGGCUUGUGUGUUGGGCCGCCGUCCCUUCCCGCUCCGGGAGGGGACGGGCCCGAAAGGCAGUGGCGGCGCCGCGUCCGGUCCUCGAGCGUAUGGGGCUUUGUCACCCGCUCUGUAGGCCGGGCCGGUGCCCACGCCCUCAUGUUCAACUUCUUCCAAGGUUGACCUCGGAUCAGGUAGGGAUACCCGCUGAACUUAAGCAUAUCAAUAAGCGGAGGAAAAGAAACCAACCGGGAUUGCCUCAGUAACGGCGAGUGAAGCGGCAAGAGCUCAAAUUUGAAAGCUGGCCCCCUGCGGGGUCCGCAUUGUAAUUUGCAGAGGAUGCUUCGGAUCCGGCCCCUGUCUAAGUGCUCUGGAACGGGCCGUCGGAGAGGGUGAGAAUCCCGUCUGGGACGGGGAGUCCGGGUCCAUGUGAAGCUCCUUCAACGAGUCGAGUUGUUUGGGAAUGCAGCUCUAAAUGGGUGGUAAAUUUCAUCUAAAGCUAAAUACUGGCCGGAGACCGAUAGCGCACAAGUAGAGUGAUCGAAAGAUGAAAAGCACUUUGAAAAGAGAGUUAAAAAGCACGUGAAAUUGUUGAAAGGGAAGCGCUUGCGAUCAGACUCGCCCGCGGGGUUCAGCCGGCAUUCGUGCCGGUGUACUUCCCCGUGGGUGGGCCAGCGUCGGUUCGGGCGGCCGGUCAAAGGCCCUGGGAAUGUAGCGCCCUCCGGGGCGUCUUAUAGCCCAGGGUGCCAUGCGGCCUGCCCGGACCGAGGAACGCGCUUCGGCUCGGACGCUGGCGUAAUGGUCGUAAGCGACCCGUCUUGAAACACGGACCAAGGAGUCUAACAUCUACGCGAGUGUUUGGGUGACAAACCCAUACGCGCAGUGAAAGCGAACGGAGGUGGGAGCCUUUCGGGGCGCACCAUCGACCGAUCCUGAUGUCUUCGGAUGGAUUUGAGUAAGAGCGUAGCUGUGGGGACCCGAAAGAUGGUGAACUAUGCCUGAAUAGGGCGAAGCCAGAGGAAACUCUGGUGGAGGCUCGCAGCGGUUCUGACGUGCAAAUCGAUCGUCAAAUUUGGGUAUAGGGGCGAAAGACUAAUCGAACCAUCUGGUAGCUGGUUCCUGCCGAAGUUUCCCUCAGGAUAGCAGUAACGCAUUCUUCAGUUUUAUGGGGUAAAGCGAAUGAUUAGAGGUCUUGGGGUUGAAACAACCUUAACCUAUUCUCAAACUUUAAAUAUGUAAGAAGCCCUUGUUUCUUAAUUGAACGUGGGCGU